UGCAUAAUUAAAAGUUUUCUUGAUUUUGCUGCCAAAUUGUGUAAACGAAAGAGACUACGAUUUUUAUACCGAUGGAAGGUGUCGGCUCCUCCCCUGUUUGUCAUUCUUCAGUUCUCUCCCAUUUUAAUAUGGAUGAAUGCCGUGGAAAUGAAACAAUCCUAACGCCAAAAAAAGAAGCCACAAAAUUCUCUCUUUACUUUCUCCACUCUCUCCGUCACUUCACCUCCUUUCUCUGAUUAUCUCUCUUUAUCACUCUCUCUCUAUCUCUCCAAACGGACCAAACCUUAGCAUCAGACUAUUAGAGGGCAUCAAAACAGAAAGGAACGAAGGAUAUGAGUCUUUUGCUUGCGAUUUUAUCAUUUCUGGCAAGAGUGGUCUGAUUGGGUUCCUCCUAAGAGAAGAUGGAGUUUAAGGACAAGGACAGUAAUCUCACAUCCACCUUGUACACCAGCAUUUUCAUGGCUUCCCCAGCCCUGUGAGAAUAUUUUUUUGGGUUAUUGGUUUUGAAGGAGGUUGAGUGAUGAAGAAAAGAAGGGCACCAUGGAAGAUAUCUAAAACCGAUUUUAGCUCAGAUUUGAUAGCCAUUAAAGGUUGUUGCUGUUGCACUAAAGUGUGAAACAACCUAGGCACAAUUUGAUGACAUGGCUACCAGAUCUAGAAGAUAUCCCAAAUGCCCAAAAGUCACCUAGGAUAGGAUAUAAAGAGAAAACUCAUGGCGUUCUAGAAAAAAAGAAGACAUUAUUUGGAAUUUUUAUUUUAGCUUAUUUGGCUUAUGACGUUGUCUAUAACUAUUUAAUGUGGUUUAUUACAUUGUCAAGAACUAUUUUAUGUGUUUUAUGAUAUCUGAAUAUUGAAAAGGUAAUCUUAAAAUUUAGUAGAUUCAGACUAGGUUAUUAAAAUUUAUGACUUUUGUUAAUGAAUUUGUCACAUGGCCUAUGUGCAAGGUUUCAGUAAGUUCACUAAUGAGCUUGUGUGAUAUUUGAUAGUGUGCAUCAUCUAUUAUGGAUUUGGUAUACUAAACUUUGGUUGAAACAAAAAUACUAUGGUUAUGCAGCACAACAAAGGUUCACUAUAAUAUGCUUGAAAAUGUUUGACGAUAAUUGAAUUUGUUUUAUGGGUGAUUAUUAAAGCUUAAUUUUACUCACCAGAUGGUCUACAUGUAGUCAACUAAUUUUGAUCAUAUCAUUUUUCAAACUUUUUGUAUAUAUUUCUUUACUUACUGAUUGUAAGUGGACUUGGUUUAACUUCAUGGCAAAUGUGUAUAAUAAUUUUUCAUGGUAUAAAAAAGAAGUUUGAAAUCCAGAUGAGUUUCAAAUGGUUUAAUAAUCCAAGUUAACAUCAAUAGCACCACUACAAUUGAUCAUUCCCGUGUGUAAACACGGUUUACAUACUAGUUUUUAUAAAGAGUCCUUACAUAUUAUUAUUCCUUUUUCUAAAAUAUUAUUCUUUUAUUAUUUUUCAUGUGAGAGUUCUUUUACCUUAUGUUACCUACUAUGGUUGGUACUAGGAAACCGGCACUUUCAUAUGAAAUGUGAAACUCAGAAACUCUAAGCAAAUCAAAGUAAAACUCAACAACAAAUGUUUAAAGAAAACUCUUUUUCAUCCCAAAAACAAAGUUAAUUAACUUUUUAAAAAUCCUACAACCAUGCCACAAAAAUGUGAAACUCAAAAACCCUAAGCAAACCAAAAGUCUUUGAAUUAACAUGAAACUCAACAACAAACGUAAAACCCAAAAGUCCAAAAACCCUACACUUACAAUCCAAAAACGGUCACAACAUCCUUUCUAUCGCUAUUACCUAGCCACCCAUGUGUGAGCCACACUAAUAGUAGCUCCACUAUUGCUAUAGUUUUUUAGGGUAACCCAUUGUUCUAUUAUAUCUUUCUAUAGUGUAAUCAUUUUUUUUCAAUGUUUCAAUAAUUUCUUAGCUCUAAAUAUAUUCUUUAAUUUUUGGAUUAAUUUUUUGCUCUAUUUGAAUCUAUU